rnacentral:RNase_P_RNA from 3 species
CAAGGUAAGCGGGUGAUCGCUCUUAUUUUUUAUUGAAUAGGGGAGGAAAGUCCGGACUUUGAACCGCGUAGAGAAGCUUUGCUUCCCACGCGAGGAAAGCGGCAGUGGGUAACGCCCACCCGCCAUACGCUAAAGCUUCGGCGGGCAGGCCCGAAUGUAAAUUUGUUUUACAAUUUAGGUUUUGUUUAAAGAUUUUUUAGUUAAAGCGAGGGAAAGUGCCACAGAGACAAUACUACUUCGUUUCUUUCGAGGAGCGGGGGAAAGGUGAAAAGACGCUUGGUGUUUUUUGUUCUCGAGAUAAAAGGCUACAAGCGUCGUCCUCUGGUGACAGAGUGUACGUGGUAAACCCUGCCUAAAGCAAGAGCAAAUCCACCUACGCUAAAGCUUCGGUGGACAAGGCCCAAAAGGCUGAGUUAGCAGGAUGCAAGGUGAAGAUGGAAAAAAGUGGCUCGCAUGACCCUAGAAGCAAUUUUAGGGCUAGAUAAAUGAUUGCCUCCCGUGAACACGCAGUGUUUUUAUGGGAACAGAAUCCGGCUUAUAGCUUGCCUUGAUAC